rnacentral:rRNA from 1 species
UAAACGAUGCCAACCAGCAAUCCGCCUGAGUUCCUUAAAUGACUCGGCGGGCGGCUUCCGGGAAACCAAAGUUUUUCGGUUCCGGGGGAAGUAUGGUUGCAAAGCUGAAACUUAAGGGAAUUGACGGAAGGGCACCACCAGGAGUGGAGCCUGCGGCUUAAUUUGACUCAACACGGGAAAACUUACCCGGCCCGGACACUGGAAGGAUUGACAGAUUGAGAGCUCUUUCUUGAUUCAGUGGGUGGUGAUGCAUGGCCGUUCUUAGUUGGUGGAGCGAUUUGUCUGGUUAAUUCCGAUAACGAACGAGACUCUAGCCUACUAAAUAGACCAGAGGCUUCUUAAAACACGUCUCUGGCUGCUUCUUAGAGGGACAGGCGGCGGUUCAGCCGCACGAAACAGAGCAAUAACAGGUCUGUGAUGCCCUUAGAUGUCCGGGGCCGCACGCGCGCUACACUGAAGUGAUCAGCGUGCUUUUUGUACCCUGCUCUGCCAAGAGUGGGUAACCCAAUGAACCUUCUUCGUGAUUGGGAUAGGGGAUUGUAAUUAUUCCCCUUGAACGAGGAAUUCCCAGUAAGCGCGAGUCAUAAGCUCGCGUUGAUUACGUCCCUGCCCUUUGUACACACCGCCCGUCGCUACUACCGAUUGAAUGAUUUAGUGAGGUCUUCAGACUGGCCGGUGCAGCUACUCUCACGGGU